AUGCAAGUCGAACGGAAGUUUAAGCAAUUAAACUUUAGUGGCGAACGGGUGAGUAACGCGUAAGCAAUCUGCCCCUAAGACGAGGAUAACAGUUGGAAACGACUGCUAAGACUGGAUAGGAGACAAGAGGGCAUCUUCUUGUUUUUAAAAGACCUAGCAAUAGGUAUGCUUAGGGAGGAGCUUGCGUCACAUUAGUUAGUUGGUGGGGUAAAGGCCUACCAAGACUAUGAUGUGUAGCCGGGCUGAGAGGUUGAACGGCCACAUUGGGACUGAGACACGGCCCAAACUCCUACGGGAGGCAGCAGUAGGGAAUUUUCGGCAAUGGAGGAAACUCUGACCGAGCAACGCCGCGUGAACGAUGAAGUAUUUCGGUACGUAAAGUUCUUUUAUUAGGGAAGAAUAAAUGAUGGAAAAAUCAUUCUGACGGUACCUAAUGAAUAAGCCCCGGCUAACUAUGUGCCAGCAGCCGCGGUAAUACAUAGGGGGCAAGCGUUAUCCGGAAUUAUUGGGCGUAAAGGGUGCGUAGGCGGUUAAAUAAGUUUAUGGUCUAAGUGCAAUGCUCAACAUUGUGAUGCUAUAAAAACUGUUUAGCUAGAGUAAGAUAGAGGCAAGUGGAAUUCCAUGUGUAGUGGUAAAAUGCGUAAAUAUAUGGAGGAACACCAGUAGCGAAGGCGGCUUGCUGGGUCUUUACUGACGCUGAGGCACGAAAGCGUGGGGAGCAAACAGGAUUAGAUACCCUGGUAGUCCACGCCGUAAACGAUGAGUACUAAACGUUGGGUAAAACCAGUGUUGAAGUUAACACAUUAAGUACUCCGCCUGAGUAGUACGUACGCAAGUAUGAAACUUAAAGGAAUUGACGGGACUCCGCACAAGCGGUGGAUCAUGUUGUUUAAUUCGAAGGUACCCGAAAAACCUCACCAGGUCUUGACAUGCUUCUGCAAAGCUGUAGAAACACAGUGGAGGUUAUCAGUUGCACAGGUGGUGCAUGGUUGCCGUCAGCUCGUGUCGUGAGAUGUUGGGUUAAGUCCCGCAACGAGCGCAACCCUUAUUGUUAGUUACCAGCACGUAAUGGUGGGGACUUUAGCAAGACUGCCAGUGAUAAAUUGGAGGAAGGUGGGGACGACGUCAAAUCAUCAUGCCCCUUAUGACCUGGGCUACAAACGUGAUACAAUGGCUGUUACAAAGGGUAGCUGAAGCGCAAGUUUUUGGCGAAUCUCAAAAAAACAGUCUCAGUUCGGAUUGAAGUCUGCAACUCGACUUCAUGAAGUUGGAAUCGCUAGUAAUCGCGAAUCAGCAUGUCGCGGUGAAUACGUUCUCGGGGUUUGUACACACCGCCCGUCAAACCACGAAAGUUGGUAAUACCCAAAGCCGGUGGCCUAACUUCGCAAGAAGAGGGAACCGUCUAAGGUAGGGUCGAUGAUUGGGGUUAAG
rnacentral:rRNA from 1 species